GCCUUCAUGGAUCAUGGCGAUCACCUCGGUGUUGUUCCGCAGCCCAGCUUAAGGAUCACAAUUAUCGAGGAGGCGGGGGUUCAAAUCCUCCUGGAGGCG